AGCUCCGGCCGAGAGCUCUUUGAUCUCUUGUGAACUUGCGCUCAGAGGCUAGAGCUAGAGUGGGCAUUUAGAAAGUGAGGGUCUUGAGCCUUCGAGAUGGAGGCGAGGGAGAGGGACGGGUAAAGAAGGUAUGAGGGAUAAGGGAGAGAGAGGGAGGGUGGGAGAGAGAGAGAGAGAGGGAGAGGGAGCCCUCUGACAACGACGCUUAGGGUUCCAGUAGCGGCGCUUAGGAUUCCGAUGGCGUGGCGGCGAUAAGCUUCUUAUUUUUUCAGCUCUCAGCUAUAUGCUUUCUCCUCUGCAACUAGUAUUGGUGAUUACUUGUUCUUUGAGAGAAAAUGGUGAAGACAAGAAUGGAGAAGGAGCUGGGAAGUAGUGGUUGCUGUUGUUAGCUGGUCCAUUUGGCAGGAAUAUGAUGCAAGGAUCUUCUCCAUCAAGCAAAAAGGCAUAGAGGUCGUUCAGAAGAAGGUUGUUUUUCUUUUCAGAGAUUACAUUAGUACGAUCUUGGCUCAGAAUAACGGGCGAAUUUGUUUACUUGAUUACAUUCUAAGACUGUAACCUUGUUCUGAUAUGUUCCCCUUCUCUUUUGAGAGGAUAACUUCACUUUCUUAAUGCCUUUAGGCUUUGGCUCAUUUUCAUUUUUUUUUUAUAAAAUACAUAUGCCAAUUAAUAGUACCAUAAGGGGCAUCUCUUCCA